CGCUAAGAAGCUGAAUUAGGUAAGCAGCGUUAGCCUUUUAAGCUAAAGAUUGGUGACUCCUAACCACCCUUAGCGA
rnacentral:tRNA from 1 species